rnacentral:rRNA from 1 species
GGGGAAUUUUCCGCAAUGGGCGAGAGCCUGACGGAGCAACGCCGCGUGAGGGAGGAAGGCCUGUGGGUCGUAAACCUCUUUUCUCAGGGAAGAAGUACUGACGGUACCUGAGGAAUCAGCAUCGGCUAACUCCGUGCCAGCAGCCGCGGUAAGACGGAGGAUGCAAGCGUUAUCCGGAAUUAUUGGGCGUAAAGCGUCCGUAGGUGGUAUAGAAAGUCUGUUGUUAAAUCCCACAGCUCAACUGUGGAUCGGCAAUGGAAACUACUAAACUUGAGUGUGGUAGGGGUAGAGGGAAUUCCUAGUGUAGCGGUGAAAUGCGUAGAUAUUAGGAAGAACACCAGUGGCGAAGGCGCUCUACUGG